UACGUAGGGGGCAAGCGUUGUCCGGAUUUAUUGGGCGUAAAGAGCGUGUAGGCGGCUAGGUAGGUCCGUUGUGAAAACUCGAGGCUCAACCUCGAGACGCCGAUGGAAACCAUCUAGCUAGAGUCCGGAAGAGGCGAGUGGAAUUCCUGGUGUAGCGGUGAAAUGCGCAGAUAUCAGGAGGAACACCGAUUGCGAAGGCAGCUCGCUGGGACGUUACUGACGCUGAGACGCGAAAGCGUGGGGAGCAAACAGG
rnacentral:rRNA from 1 species